rnacentral:rRNA from 1 species
GCGGCGGACGGGUGAGUAACACGUGGGUAACCUGCCUGUAAGACUGGGAUAACUCCGGGAAACCGGGGCUAAUACCGGAUGGUUGUUUGAACCGCAUGGUUCAAACAUAAAAGGUGGCUUCGGCUACCACUUACAGAUGGACCCGCGGCGCAUUAGCUAGUUGGUGAGGUAACGGCUCACCAAGGCGACGAUGCGUAGCCGACCUGAGAGGGUGAUCGGCCACACUGGGGACUGAGACACGGCCCCAGACUCCUACGGGAGGCAGCAGUAGGGAAUCUUCCGCAAUGGACGAAAGUCUGACGGAGCAACGCCGCGUGAGUGAUGAAGGUUUUCGGAUCGUAAAGCUCUGUUGUUAGGGAAGAACAAGUACCGUUCGAAUAGGGCGGUACCUUGACGGUACCUAACCAGAAAGCCACGGCUAACUACGUGCCAGCAGCCGCGGUAAUACGUAGGUGGCAAGCGUUGUCCGGAAUUAUUGGGCGUAAAGGGCUCGCAGGCGGUUUCUUAAGUCUGAUGUGAAAGCCCCCGGCUCAACCGGGGAGGGUCAUUGGAAACUGGGGAACUUGAGUGCAGAAGAGGAGAGUGGAAUUCCACGUGUAGCGGUGAAAUGCGUAGAGAUGUGGAGGAACACCAGUGGCGAAGGCGACUCUCUGGUCUGUAACUGACGCUGAGGAGCGAAAGCGUGGGGAGCGAACAGGAUUAGAUACCCUGGUAGUCCACGCCGUAAACGAUGAGUGCUAAGUGUUAGGGGGUUUCCGCCCCUUAGUGCUGCAGCUAACGCAUUAAGCACUCCGCCUGGGGAGUACGGUCGCAAGACUGAAACUCAAAGGAAUUGACGGGGGCCCGCACAAGCGGUGGAGCAUGUGGUUUAAUUCGAAGCAACGCGAAGAACCUUACCAGGUCUUGACAUCCUCUGACAAUCCUAGAGAUAGGACGUCCCCUUCGGGGGCAGAGUGACAGGUGGUGCAUGGGUUGUCGUCAGCUCGUGUCGUGAGAUGUUGGGUUAAGUCCCGCAACGAGCGCAACCCUUGAUCUUAGUUGCCAGCAUUCAGUUGGGCACUCUAAGGUGACUGCCGGUGACAAACCGGAGGAAGGUGGGGGAUGACGUCAAAUCAUCAUGCCCCUUAUGACCUGGGCUACACACGUGCUACAAUGGACAGAACAAAGGGCAGCGAAACCGCGAGGUUAAGCCAAUCCCACAAAUCUGUUCUCAGUUCGGAUCGCAGUCUGCAACUCGACUGCGUGAAGCUGGAAUCGCUAGUAAUCGCGGAUCAGCAUGCCGCGG